GCCCUGCUGAUUCGAAGGCCUGCGUUCCAACGCGGGGUAGUGGUAGGAGAAGCGGGGU
rnacentral:sRNA from 1 species